rnacentral:snoRNA from 1 species
AAUAUGAAUUGGGAAAAGGGUCUAAAUAACUCAUAGAUUUGUGUGUUGCCAUCAGCUUCAUCUCUUGAAAUUGCUAACGAGAAUGAAGUUAAAUAACGACACUAAAUGU